rnacentral:tRNA from 2 species
AAAAUGAUGGUUUAAUCCCUUCCCUUACUA